UGUUAAAAAUUUCAUACAUUUCUAUUGUUAAAAUUUGACAUGAUUGACAAAAUAAUUAGACAGUUACACUUGACAUGUUAAGUGUACUUUAUGCUGACAUAUAAUGACCAAUUUUUAACAGUAAAAAUGGAUGAAAUUUUUAACA
rfam:Gossypium hirsutum cultivar TM-1 scaffold3441.1_1, whole genome shotgun sequence